rnacentral:rRNA from 1 species
GACAGAGGAUGCAAGCGUUAUCCGGAAUGAUUGGGCGUAAAGCGUCUGUAGGUGGCUUUUUAAGUCUGCCGUCAAAUCCCAGGGCUUAACCCUGGACAGGCGGUGGAAACUACCAAGCUGGAGUACGGUAGGGGCAGGGGGAAUUUCCGGUGGAGCGGUGAAAUGCGUAGAUAUCGGAAGGAACAUCAGUGGCGAAAGCGGCUUCCUGGUCCAGCACCGACGUUCAGGCACGAAAGCGUGGGGAGCAAACAGG